GAUGAACGCUGGCGGCGUGCCUAAUACAUGCAAGUCGAGCGAACAGAUGAGGAGCUUGCUCCUCUGACGUUAGCGGCGGACGGGUGAGUAACACGUGGAUAACCUACCUAUAAGACUGGGAUAACUUCGGGAAACCGGAGCUAAUACCGGAUAAUAUAUUGAACCGCAUGGUUCAAUAGUGAAAGACGGUUUUGCUGUCACUUAUAGAUGGAUCCGCGCCGCAUUAGCUAGUUGGUAAGGUAACGGCUUACCAAGGCAACGAUGCGUAGCCGACCUGAGAGGGUGAUCGGCCACACUGGAAGUGAGACACGGUCCAGACUCCUACGGGAGGCAGCAGUAGGGAAUCUUCCGCAAUGGGCGAAAGCCUGACGGAGCAACGCCGCGUGAGUGAUGAAGGUCUUCGGAUCGUAAAACUCUGUUAUUAGGGAAGAACAAAUGUGUAAGUAACUAUGCACGUCUUGACGGUACCUAAUCAGAAAGCCACGGCUAACUACGUG
rnacentral:rRNA from 1 species